CCUGAAUCCCCUCUGUGAGUAAAUCAUUUACUUUAUCUAUUUUCCUAUUUUUUGUGCACAUGUCAGAAUUUAUUUAUUCAUAUAUUCAUGCAUGGACAUAGUAAAAUAUUUUUAAAAGUAGUAUUACAUCUAGUUUUUUUUUACACUGUUUGAAAAUGAACUGAUUUUACAUUCACGUCUACUGUUGUGAAGCACUAGGGUAUAUUGUUUUAAUCAUAUUUGACAUGGUGUUUUGCUUUUUAGAGGACUAGAUUAUUCCAAUCCUUGGCAUUACAACUAUGUGCAGGCAAGAAAUCAAAUAGCAUCUGAUUUGCACAUUGUUCAUCCAACUAUGAAAAUAUUACUGGACCUUGGUUAUACAACAUUUACUAAUAUAGUUUUGCUGGAUGUAACAGGAAUUAGGUAAAAUCCUAUAUUUAUUAAUUAUCAUUCUAAAUGUCUCCUUGCUUGACAUUUUGACUGUAUAAUUUUUAAACUGACUCAUAAAUCUUCAAAACAUUUCUUUAGAUUUUAGAACUAAAAACAAUUGUCAUCAAUAAUUGUGUAUGAAAACCAAUGUCUUUUGCUUCAAAAUAGAUAUUUUUUUCCCUCAAAAAUAGAGCUAAAGGCCCAAUUGAUUGUGAAUCACUAAAAACUGAUCUGUCCAUUCAAGCUAAAAAGGCAGAAGAGAAGAUAAUGAACACAUGGUAUCCACAGGUUAUAAGUCUCUUUACCAAAAAGGAGUCACUAGAAGGCAUUAAGCCUGAAAAAUUGGAUGCAUUUUAUAGUUGUGUUUCCACACUUAUGACAAAUCAGGUAAAUACAUUUUAUGUAUCUUAAAUGAUAGCAUUGUUAAAAUUAUUCAGUAUUUUAGAUAACAUUCUGUUAACAGUGCUGAGUAAUUAUUUUGAAAUAAAUUAAGAAAAUAUUUUUAUUGUAAUUUUGUUUAUAUUUAUCAAAAAAUAAAUUUUGAGGCAAUCUAAAAUGAGAGAUGACUGGGGAUAUAGUUCAGUGGUAGAAUGCUUGCUAGUAAGUGUGAGACCCUGGCUUCCAUCCCUAGAAUUGUAAAAAAUAA
rnacentral:lncRNA from 1 species